UUGGGUCCUAUCCAAUUCGGCUUCACUCAAUCAUCGUUGAUCUUGGACUCUCAGUGUGAGAGUAUUCUCUUUUUGGUUCUUUAUCAAAUGUGGGUGCCAUGGUGGGGGCUAUAGCCAGUGGUCAGAUUUCUGAGUAUAUUGGGCGCAAAGGG